rnacentral:misc_RNA from 1 species
GUGAAUCAUCAAAUCUUUGAACGCAAAUUGCACUCUCUGGUAUUCCGGAGAGUAUGCCUGUUUGAGGGUCAGUUUAAAUAAAAAUCGGCGUGUUUGCUGCCUUUCGUGGUUACGCACCGGAUUUGGGUCGUCUUGCCUUCGGUUAAGUGACCUAACAUUUUGCAUGUUUUUUUCGAACGUAUUUAAAUGAUUUUACGUGCUUUUGCGAUAUCGAAUGUUAGCUGUGGUUAUCUUCAU